UGAGGAAUAUUGGUCAAUGGGCGAGAGCCUGAACCAGCCAAGUCGCGUGAGGGAUGACGGUCCUAUGGAUUGUAAACCUCUUUUGUCGGGGAGCAAGAACUCUACGUGUAGAGAAGUGAGAGUACCCGAAGAAAAAGCAUCGGCUAACUCCGUGCCAGCAGCCGCGGUAAUACGGAGGAUGCGAGCGUUAUCCGGAUUUAUUGGGUUUAAAGGGUGCGUAGGCGGAAAGUUAAGUCAGUGGUCAAAUCGUGAGGCUCAACCUCAUCCAGCCAUUGAAACUGGUUUUCUUGAGUGGAAUGGACGUAUGCGGAAUGCGUGGUGUAGCGGUGAAAUGCAUAGAUAUCACGCAGAACUCCGAUUGCGAAGGCAGCAUACGAUUUUCCAACUGACGCUGAAGCACGAAAGCGUGGGUAUCGAACAGG
rnacentral:rRNA from 2 species